CCUGGGCCCACAUGCUGGAUUCUGAGCGCCCGGGGGAGGGGACGGCGUGGCUGUGACCUCCCUGUUCACUCUGAGCUUCACUUGAGUCUGAGCCCUGAGCUCCUGACUCCCCCGGGCUCUGGCCCAUCAUACACACAGCCUUUGCAGGAAGCGGGCUCCCACAGACGCCCAGUCUCACUGCUGAGUUCAGAAUGGAGGCGUCUAGGUCUGUUUUUCAGCACCUUGUGAGUGGAGCUGCUGGGCCCCCCGAUGGCCGUGGUGGCUGGCCGAGGUAGGGUGCACUGGUGUCGUCUACGCCAAGGGGACGACUGUCUGGGUGUAACCGCCCCCGCCCCGGAGGAAGACAAGACCUCCCUCCGCCAGGCUCUCCCAGGCAGCUCCAAUGUCCUUAAAUAAGUCUCUUUCUAAAGGAACCUACCGUGGUGGCCACAAGAGCCACCUCGGAGGUUGCAGAAACUCAGCAGCAGCUUUGGGGGACAGAGUGCUGUGCCCGCAGCCCCACCGUGGAUCCCAAGGUGCCAAAGGCAGUGCUCAUGCCAGGUGGGGACAAGUCAUAGAGACGCCCAGGGCCAGAGCCCCCAACCGAGCCUCCCCACAGCCAAAGGCGGCAGACGUGCAGCCCUGCCCAUCGGGGCCUCGCCCUCCACCAGCCUCCCUGAGGCCAUCCUCUGACCCUCCUCCCCGCACCCCUGAGGUGCUGCAGCAGCAAUUCCUCCUCCUCCUCGUUUCAUGUGAAAUAAAUGGCCGUCUAUAU
rnacentral:lncRNA from 1 species